rnacentral:rRNA from 1 species
GCUUGCUUUUUUUGAAGAGCGGCGGACGGGGUGAGUAAUCCCUAGAAUCUGCCUGGUAUGGGGGAUAACGUUCGAAACGGACGCUAAUCCCGCAUACGUCCUACGGGAGAAAGCAGGGGACCUUCGGGCCUUGCGUUAUCAGAUGAGCCUAGGUCGGAUUAGCUAGUUGGUGAGGAAACGGCUCACCAAGUUCGACGAUCAGUAGCCGGACUGAGAAGGUUGAACGGCCACAUUGGGACUGAGACACGGCCCAGACUCCUACGGGAGGCAGCAGUGGGGGAUAUUGGACAAUGGGGGAAACCCUGAUCCAGCGAUGCCGCGUGAGGGAAGAAGGUUUUCGGAUUGUAAACCUCUGUGGAGGGGGACGAUAAUGACGGUACCCCUUUAGGAAGCCACGGCUAACUACGUGCCAGCAGCCGCGGUAAUACGUAGGUGGCGAGCGUUGUCCGGAAUUACUGGGUGUAAAGGGAGUGUAGGCGGGAAGGCAAGUCAGAAGUGAAAACUAUGGGCUUAACCCAUAGCCUGCUUUUGAAACUGUUUUUCUUGAGUGAAGUAGAGGCAAGCGGAAUUCCUAGUGUAGCGGUGAAAUGCGUAGAUAUUAGGAGGAACACCAGUGGCGAAGGCGGCUUGCUGGGCUUUUACUGACGCUGAGGCUCGAAAGCGUGGGGGGCAAACAGGAUUAGAUACCCUGGUAGUCCACGCCGUAAACGAUGAUCACUAGGUGUGGGGAGCGAACCUUUCCGUGCCGGAGUAAACACAAUAAGUGAUCCACCUGGGGAGUACGGCCGCAAGGCUGAAACUCAAAGGAAUUGACGGGGGCCCGCACAAGCAGUGGAGUAUGUGGUUUAAUUCGAAGCAACGCGAAGAACCUUACCGGGUCUUGACAUCGAGUGAAAGGUCAAGAGAUUGAUCCCUCUCUUCGGAGACACGAAGACAGGUGGUGCAUGGUUGUCGUCAGCUCGUGUCGUGAGAUGUUGGGUUAAGUCCCGCAACGAGCGCAACCCUUAUCAUUAGUUGCUACGCAAGAGCACUCUAAUGAGACUGCCGUUGACAAAACGGAGGAAGGUGGGGAUGACGUCAAAUUAUCAUGCCCUUUAUGACCCGGGCUACACACGUACUACAAUGGUGUUUAACAAAGAGAAGCGAAGCCGCGAGGCGGAGCAAAUCUCGAAAAAACAUCUCAGUUCAGAUUGCAGGCUGCAACUCGCCUGCAUGAAGUCGGAAUUGCUAGUAAUCGUAGGUCAGCAUACUACGGUGAAUACGUUCCCGGGCCUUGCACACACCGCCCGUCAA